rnacentral:rRNA from 1 species
UGGGGAAUUUUCCGCAAUGGGCGAAAGCCUGACGGAGCAAUGCCGCGUGGAGGUGGAAGGCCUACGGGUCGUCAACUUCUUUUUCUCGGAGAAGAAACAAUGACGGUAUCUGAGGAAUAAGCAUCGGCUAACUCUGUGCUAG